rnacentral:rRNA from 1 species
AUUGAACGCUGGCGGCAGGCUUAACACAUGCAAGUCGAGCGGAGCGAGGGUGCUUGCACCUUAGCUUAGCGGCGGACGGGUGAGUAAUGCUUAGGAAUCUGCCUAUUAGUGGGGGACAACAUUCCGAAAGGAAUGCUAAUACCGCAUACGCCCUACGGGGUAAGCAGGGGAUCUUCGGAACUUGCGCUAAUAGAUGAGCCUCAGUCGGAUUAGACAGUUGGUGGGGUAAAGGCCUACCAAGGCGACGAUCUGGAGCGGGUCUGAGAGGAUGAUCCGCCACACUGGGACUGAGACACGGCCCAGACUCCUACGGGAGGCAGCAGUGGGGAAUAUUGGACAAUGGGCGGAAGCCUGAUCCAGCCAUGCCGCGUGUGUGAAGAAGGCCUUUUGGUUGUAAAGCACUUUAAGCGAGGAGGAGGCUCUUAAGGUUAAUACCCUUGAUGAGUGGACGUUACUCGCAGAAUAAGCACCGGCUAACUCUGUGCCAGCCGCCGCGGUAAUAC